AUUUCUUUAUUAAAAGUUUAUUAUAUUAUCUUGAUGGGAUAAAGUUUUUAGAAAUA
rnacentral:tRNA from 1 species